UACGGGGGGGGCAAGCGUUGUUCGGAAUUACUGGGCGUAAAGGGCUCGUAGGCGGCCAACUAAGUCAGACGUGAAAUCCCUCGGCUUAACCGGGGAACUGCGUCUGAUACUGGCGGACUCGAGUCCGGGAGAGGUGAGUGGAACUGCGAGUGUAGAGGUGAAAUUCGUAGAUAUUCGCAAGAACACCAGUGGCGAAGGCGGCUCACUGGCCCGGUACUGACGCUGAGGUGCGAAAGCGUGGGGAGCAAACAGG
rnacentral:rRNA from 1 species